UUUUACUAGAUUAAAUUAGUAAUAAAAUCUGCUCAAUGAACUUUAAAUAGCCGCAAUUUUCUGUGCUAAGGUAGCAUAAUAAUUUGUCUUUUAAAUAAAGACUAGAAUGAAAGAUUAAACAUUUUAAAUUAUAUUCUCAAUAUAUUAAUAAAAACUAUUUUAAAUGUAAAAAAACAUUUAUAAUAAAGAAAGACGACAAGACCCUAUCGAACUUAACUACAGUUAAACUGGGGCAGUUAAUCAAUUACAAUUUUAAUUACCUCAAAAUUAAACAAAUGACCUAAAAAUUUUAAUUAAUAGAACAAGUUACCGUAGGGAUAACAGCGUAAUAAUUUUUCAAAGAUCUUAUAUAAAAAAAAGAUUGCGACCUCGAUGUUGAAUAAUAUACUUCUUUAACGCAAAAGUUAAGAUAUAAGGAAGUCUGUUCGACUUUUAAAAAAUUACA
rnacentral:rRNA from 1 species